UACAGGGGGUGCAAGCGUUGCUCGGAAUCAUUGGGCGUAAAGGGCAAGUAGGUGGUCUCAUUUGUCUCGUGUGAAAGCCUUGGGCUUAACCCAAGAAGUGCGCGAGAAACGGUGAGACUCGAGUUCUGGAGAGGGUCGUGGAAUUCCCGGUGUAGCGGUGAAAUGCGUAGAGAUCGGGAGGAACACCAGUGGCGAAGGCGACUACCUGGCCUGUUCUUGACGCUGAGGCGCGAAAGCUAGGGGAGCAAACGGG
rnacentral:rRNA from 1 species